AUUGAACGCUGGCGGCAGGCCUAACACAUGCAAGUCGAGCGGAUGAAUGGAGCUUGCUCCUGGAUUCAGCGGCGGACGGGUGAGUAAUGCCUAGGAAUCUGCCUGGUAGUGGGGGAUAACGUCCGGAAACGGGCGCUAAUACCGCAUACGUCCUGAGGGAGAAAGUGGGGGAUCUUCGGACCUCACGCUAUCAGAUGAGCCUAGGUCGGAUUAGCUAGUUGGUGGGGUAAAGGCCUACCAAGGCGACGAUCCGUAACUGGUCUGAGAGGAUGAUCAGUCACACUGGCACUGAGACACGGUCCAGACUCCUACGGGAGGCAGCAGUGGGGAAUAUUGGACAAUGGGCGAAAGGCUGAUCCAGGCAUGCCGCGUGUGUGAAGAAGGUCUUCGGAUUGUAAAGCAAUUUAAGUUGGGAGGAAGGGCAGUAAGUUAAUACCUUGCUGUUUUGACGUUACCAACAGAAUAAGCACCGGCUAACUUCGUG
rnacentral:rRNA from 1 species